UCAAGCUAAAAAGAGCGCAGGGUGGAUGCCUUGGCACUAAGAGCCGAUGAAAGACGUGAUAAGCUGCGAUAAGCUACGGGGAGGAGCACAUAUCCAUUGAUCCGUAGAUUUCUGAAUGGGGAAACCCGGCUGAGCAUACCUCAGUCACCGUGCACUGAAUCCAUAGGUGUACGGAGGGAACCCGGUGAACUGAAACAUCUAAGUAGCCGGAGGAAGAGAAAGAAAACUCGAUUUUCAAAGUAGCGGCGAGCGAAAUGGAAAGAGCCCAAACCGGAGUGCGUGCACUCCGGGGUUCGGACUGCAUUUAUGACUUCUGACUGUAGCGGAACGGUUCUGGAAAGACCGGCCAGAGAGGGUGAGAGCCCCGUAGGCGAAACGGAAAGAAGCAGAGCAGGAUCCAGAGUACCACGAGACACGAGAAACCUUGUGGGAAUGAGCGGGGACCACCCCGUAAGGCUAAAUACUCCUUAGUGACCGAUAGAGCAGAGUACUGUGAAGGAAAGGUGAAAAGGACCCCGGGAGGGGAGUGAAAGAGAACCUGAAACCCUGUGUUUACAAACUGUGGAAGUACCAUACGAGUACAACCGCGUACUUUUUGUAGAACGGUCCGGCGAGUUACGUUUACUGGCGAGGUUAAGCACUUAAGGUGCGGAGCCGAAGGGAUACCAAGUCUUAACAGGGCGUUAAGUCAGUGUACGUAGACCCGAAACCGGGUGAUCUACCCAUGUCCAGGCUGAAGUUGCCGUAAAAGGCAAUGGAGGGCCGAACGCACAUCCGUUGAAAAGGGUGGCGAUGAGGUGUGGGUAGGGGAGAAAUUCCAAUCGAACCCGGAGAUAGCUGGUUCUCCUCGAAAUAGCUUUAGGGCUAGCCUCGUAUUAGUCUUGCGGAGGUAGAGCACUGAAUAUCCUAGGGGGCGUCAAAGCUUACCGAAGAUUAUCAAACUCCGAAUGCCGCGUAGAUGAUGUACGGGAGUCAGACUGCACGAGAUAAGUUGGGUAGUCAAAAGGGAAAGAGCCCAGACCACCAGCUAAGGUCCCAAAGUGCGUGUUAAGUGGUAAAGGAUGUGGGAUUUCGAAGACAACUAGGAUGUUGGCUCAGAAGCAGCCAUACAUUCAAAGAGUGCGUAAUAGCUCACUAGUCGAGAGGUCCUGCGCCGAAAAUGUCCGGGGCUGAAACACACUGCCGAAGCUCAGGAAUGAUCCUAGAUCAUUGGUAGAGGAGCAUUGUAUACGGGACGAAGCAGUACCGAUAAGGAGCUGUGGACUGUAUAGAAGAGAGAAUGCCGGAAUGAGUAGCGAGAGGAAGGUGAGAAUCCUUCCGGCCGAAUAUCUAAGGUUUCCAGAGUAAAGCUGAUCUGCUCUGGGUAAGUCGGGGCCUAAGGCCAGGUCGAAAGACGUAACCGAUGGACAACAGGUUGAAAUUCCUGUACCUUAAGUAAACAGAACUGUGGGGACACGUGUGGAGAGCACAAGCCGGAAAUGGAAAAGCCGGUGCAAGCGAGGUAGGAGAUGAAUAGGCAAAUCCGUUCAUCAAUCCGAAGACGUGAUGCGGACCGAAUUAAGAGUAGGGAAGUGUGUGAGCCAUGCGUCAAGAAAAGCCGCUAUUGUUUUACUUAAGCCCGUACCGUAAACCGACACAGGUGGAUGAGGAGAGAAUCCUAAGGCCGACGGGAGAAGCAUUGUUAAGGAACUCGGCAAAAUGACUCCGUAACUUCGGGAGAAGGAGUGCCAGCGAGAGCUGGCCGCAGAGAAUUGGCCCAAGCAACUGUUUAGCAAAAACACAGGUCUAUGCAAAACCGUAAGGUGAAGUAUAUGGGCUGACGCCUGCCCGGUGCUGGAAGGUUAAGAGGAGAGGUUAGCGGCAACGCGAAGCUUUGAAUUUAAGCCCCAGUAAACGGCGGCCGUAACUAUAACGGUCCUAAGGUAGCGAAAUUCCUUGUCGG
rnacentral:rRNA from 1 species